GGGGAAUAUUGCACAAUGGGGGAAACCCUGAUGCAGCAACGCCGCGUGAGCGACGAAGGCCUUCGGGUUGUAAAGCUCUGUCUUCACUGACGAAAUAAUGACGGUAAGUGAGGAGGAAGCCACGGCUAACUACGUGCCAGCAGCCGCGGUAAUACGUAGGUGGCAAGCGUUGUCCGGAAUUAUUGGGCGUAAAGGGUGCGUAGGCGGUCUUUUAAGUGGGAUGUGAAAUACCUGGGCUUAACUCAGGAAUGGCAUUCCAAACUGGAAGACUAGAGUGCAGGAGAGGAAAGUGGAAUUCCCAGUGUAGCGGUGAAAUGCGUAGAGAUUGGGAGGAACACCAGUGGCGAAGGCGACUUUCUGGACUGUAACUGACGCUGAGGCACGAAAGCGUGGGGAGCAAAC
rnacentral:rRNA from 1 species